rnacentral:rRNA from 1 species
UGCCAGCCGCCGCGGUAAUACGGAGGGUGCAAGCGUUGCUCGGAAUCACUGGGCGUAAAGAGAGUGUAGGCGGCCCCAUAUGUCUGACGUGAAAGCCCCGGGCUCACCCCGGGAAGUGCGUUGGAAACUGUAGGGCUAGAGUCUUGGAGAGGGAGGUGGAAUUCCAGGUGUAGCGGUGAAAUGCGUAGAUAUCUGGAAGAACACCGGUGGCGAAGGCGACCUCCUGGACGAUGACUGACGCUGAGACUCGAAAGCGUGGGGAGCAAACAGGAUUAGAUA